AUAAAGGCAAAAAAACAAAUUAGUGCAUUGUUGGACCAGUGGAUCCAUUUUUGUCUUUGGAGAAAAUGAAAAGAUUACAAAAUUAGCAAAAAAUGUAAAUCCAUCUUUCUCCAGCUUUUGGUGGUCAAUGUUGUAGGGAAUGGAACAAUUGUUCUGUCCAACAGCUCACAAAGGUAAUUCAACUCCCUCAUGCUUGUUUUGCUUCUUUCCUUUCUAUUUCUCCAAAUUCAACGCCCUUUGAUUGUCAAAUACUCUUGUACUAGCCUAGCUGUGGUGUCCCGAUAUAAAUUUUAUUCCUGUUUAUGCUGACUAAAGCUUAUUUUCCUCGUUUUAAUCCUCAAUGAUGCAAUCUAUGCCUUGUCCAUUGUUCAAAAUCUGUCCCAAUAAGCUUAUUUUUGCAUAUUAAUUUAUUUUAUUGGGAACCCACAAUUAUAAAAUCCUGGAUCCGCCUUUGAACAAUUGAUUAGGCCAAAAGAAACUGACUCUAAUCAACAUAAGAUAUGAAAUAAAUCAUUCUAACCCUUAAAAAGCAUAAUAUCAUGUUCUAAAAAUAGAAGAUAUUAAUAACACAUCUUAACCCUACCAAAAAAGAAAAAAAGCCAACCCUUUUUAACCAACUAUUAAGUUAAUAGUAAACAUAGAAUUUAAUUCGAAAUGAAUUAAGUCUAAAAUGAAUUCGAUUGUAAAAUAAAUUUGAAAAUGCAAAAAAACUAUAUCAAUCUCUCUCAAAAUCUGGUGACAAAUGUAUAUAUUUAUAAGAUCUCAAGGACAUAAUAUAAAUAUAGCACUAUCUAGAAAUGAGAAAGACAUGAAAAUAUUAUAGAAUUAUAUAAAGGAGUAAAAACUUAAUACCCCCCCCCAAAAAAAAGAGUAAACAUUGUUGCUGGGACAAAAAUCAAAAGUAUCAUAAGUAUUUGAUCAAAAUAUAUACAGGAAUCUCUUAGUCGAUGAUCAAGCCACCAAUAAAAAUGCUUAAAUCAGAAUAGUCUUUCAUAUACUUGAGUUCAGUUCUUAAUUUUCAUAAUCUAUGGCAUUCUAGAACCUCAAAAAAAAUAUAACUAGCCAUUAGAUUUUCAAAAAUAAAAGUUGAAUUCAAGGACAUCAAAGACUUCUCUGAUUUAAAAAUUCUGGUUGAUGGCCUGAUCAUCAAUUAGAGAUUCCUGCAUACGUUUGGACCAAAUAUUGAGAUCUUUUUUGAUUUUGGAUUCUUCGUAUAUCAAUUUUAUUUAGCCCAGUAGGUUUAACCAUGUAUUUAUAGCGAUAAAUCCAUUAUAUUAUUGAAUAGAAAUAAAUUUUAAUGACCAAAAAGGUAAAAAAAUGAUUAUGCAAAUUCAUUUUUCUAAAGGAUUUGAACCAACUCAUAAAAUUAAUUAGGUUUCUUUUUUUAUUAUUUUUUAUCCUUUUCAAUCCAUAAAUAACAUGAUGCCUUGUAUAAUAUUUAUUUUGAGACUAUUGAAUUUGAAAUCCCAAAUCCGAUUCAAUCAAAUUAUUCCGACGUCUUUUUCGCCGAUUUCCGGCGAUGCUCCGACUGAUUCUCCGGCGAACUCACAGAUGAUAAAUUAAUUUACGCCGGCGACAGGUAAGUACGUUGCUCCAUCUCUCUCCCUUGGUCUCUCCCUUCCCCUGCGUUCUCUUUGACGUGACUGGUCAGUCUCUGUGAAGUAGACGCCGGCGGCAAAACAACACCGGCAACAGGUAGGCACACUUCUCUCUCCCUCUCUUUCUUGGUCUCCCUCUCUUUUCCCCUCUCUCCCUUUCCCCCUCCCUCCCUCUCUCCCCUCUCCACUGUCAGCAGAUUUGCGAAGGCAGCAACUUGCUGGUUACUGGUCUGCGAUCGGAUUCGGCGAACUGGUUCGACGGUUCGACUGGUUCGACGGACGUCGGUGGUGAAGGCGGCGGAGCCAAAAACUUCAGGUGGGGGUCGCUACCGGAUAUUGCAACUACUGUCCAGAUUUGAGCCGACGACUUUCCGGUGAAGUGAUUCCGGCGACCCAAUUUGCCGGGUUCCAGCACAACAAACAAGAGCAGAUUACAUGAUAUACGUAUUUCGGUGACUUUUAACCCUUGAACCUUAUUUUAUCGCAUAAUUUUUCUAUAUUUUCGUUGCCUUUAAUUUGCGUGGGAUUUCCUAUCUGUGAUUUGGAUUUCUAGUAGUUCUUAAAAUUUGGAUAUAGUGUGUACUUUGAGG
rnacentral:lncRNA from 1 species